rnacentral:rRNA from 1 species
GACGAACGCUGGCGGCGUGCUUAACACAUGCAAGUCGAACGGUGACGGAGGAGCUUGCUCCUCCUGAUCAGUGGCGAACGGGUGAGUAACACGUGAGCAAUCUGCCCCUGACUCUGGGAUAACUGCGGGAAACUGUAGCUAAUACCGGAUACGACGCGCGAAGGCAUCUUCUGCGCGUGGAAAGAAUUUCGAUCAGGGAUGAGCUCGCGGCCUAUCAGCUUGUUGGCGAGGUAAUGGCUCACCAAGGCGACGACGGGUAGCCGGCCUGAGAGGGUGACCGGCCACACUGGGACUGAGACACGGCCCAGACUCCUACGGGAGGCAGCAGUGGGGAAUAUUGCACAAUGGGCGCAAGCCUGAUGCAGCAACGCCGCGUGAGGGACGACGGCCUUCGGGUUGUAAACCUCUUUUGGCAGGGAAGAAGCGAAAGUGACGGUACCUGCAGAAAAAGCACCGGCUAACUACGUG